rnacentral:misc_RNA from 1 species
AAAUUUCUUCCUCUGAAGCAGCAGUGCUUAUACCAAGGCGUUUAUAUGGAUCCCAAACACGAAUUCGUGGGAACUUCGUGACAUUACCUUCAUAUGGUGUAUCCAAAACACACCUGGGGCUUCUAAACGACGCGGGAAAUGGUUUGCCAUUCAACCUGUUAAAGCGACCAGGCAGAUUUUGACCGAGGAAAGGGUUGGCCAACUCAAGGUUAGAUAGCGAAACGGAAGCCAUUCUUGUUCAGAGAUAGAGAACACGCACAGGAGAUAGAAAGAAACCCUAAAUUAAGGGUUUGAUGAACACCAUGGGAGAUAAUAGAGGCGAGAAGCCAGAAAGGGAUAUUGAGCAAUCUGGG